AUUGAACGCUGGCGGCAGGCCUAACACAUGCAAGUCGAGCGGAUGAGAGGAGCUUGCCUCUCGAUUCAGCGGCGGACGGGUGAGUAAUGCCUAGGAAUCUGCCUAGUAGUGGGGGACAACGUUUCGAAAGGAACGCUAAUACCGCAUACGUCCUACGGGAGAAAGUGGGGGAUCUUCGGACCUCACGCUAUUAGAUGAGCCUAGGUCGGAUUAGCUAGUUGGUAGGGUAAAGGCCUACCAAGGCGACGAUCCGUAACUGGUCUGAGAGGAUGAUGAGUCACACGGGAAAGGGGACAGGGUCCAGACUCCUACGGGAGGCAGCAGUGGGGAAUAUUGGACAAUGGGCGAAAGCCUGAUCCAGCCAUGCCGCGUGUGUGAAGAAGGCCUUCGGGUCGUAAAGCACUUUAAGUUGGGAGGAAGGGCUCAUAGCGAAUACCUGUGAGUUUUGACGUUACCAACAGAAUAAGCACCGGCUAACUUCGUGCCAGCAGCCGCCGUAAUAC
rnacentral:rRNA from 1 species